GAUACCCCACGUCCCCACAUUGUCAUUGGAGAAAUAAAAUAUGUGUAAGAAAAAAAAAUUGUAUAACAAAAAAAAAAUUGAAUCAUAAUUUCCUGUCAAUAUGCACAUCUACAUAGUAUGCCCUUAUUAUCUACAAAGUUUCAUGAAAUUAUGUUGUGUGGUUUCAGAGGAGUUGCGAUGACAAACUGUUGCAGAAGUACAUUGAAGCAAAUAAGUUCAAAGGGGCGUAACUCCUAGAAAAAAAAUUGAAUCAUAAUUUCCUGUCGAUAUGCACAUCUACAUAGUAUGUCCUUAUUAUCUAAAAAGGUUUCAUGAAAUUCUGUUGUGUGGUAUCAGAGGAGUUGCAAUGACAAACUGUUGCAGUAGUACAUUGAAGCAAAUAAGUUCAAAGGGGCGUAACUCCUAGAAAAAAAAUUGAACCGUAAUUUCCUGUCGAUAUGCACAUCUACAUAGUAUGUCCUUAUUAUCUAAAAAGGUUUCAUGAAAUUCUGUUUUGUGGUAUCAGAGGAGUUGCGAUGACAAACUGUUGCAUAGUACAUUGAAGCAAAUAAGUUCAAAGGGGCGUAACUCCUAGAAAAAAAAUUGAACCAUAAUUUCCUGUCGAUAUGCACAUCUACAUAGUAUGUCCUUAUUAUCUACAAAGUUUCAUGAAAUUCUGUUGUGUGGUUUCAGAGGAGUUGCAAUGACAAACUGUUGCAGUAGUACAUUGAAGCAAAUAAGUUCAAAGGGGCGUAACUCCUAGAAAAAAAAUUGAACCGUAAUUUCCUGUCGAUAUGCACAUCUACAUAGUAUGUCCUUAUUAUCUAAAAAGGUUUCAUGAAAUUCUGUUUUGUGGUAUCAGAGGAGUUGCGAUGACAAACUGUUGCAUAGUACAUUGAAGCAAAUAAGUUCAAAGGGGCGUAACUCCUAGAAAAAAAAUUGAACCGUAAUUUCCUGUCGAUAUGCACAUCUACAUAGUAUGUCCUUAUUAUCUAAAAAGGUUUCAUGAAAUUCUGUUGUGUGGUAUCAGAGGAGUUGCGAUGACAAACUGUUGCAGUAGUACAUUGAAGCAAAUAAGUUCAAAGGGACGUAACUCCUAGAAAAAAAUUGAACCGUAAUUUCCUGUCAAUAUGUACAUCUACAUAGUAUGUCCUUAUUAUCUAAAAAGGUUUCAUGAAAUUCUGUUGUGUGGUAUCAGAGGAGUUGCGAUGACAAACUGUUGCAGUAGUACAUUGAAGCAAAUAAGUUCAAAGGGGCGUAACUCCUAGAAAAAAAAUUGAAUGGUAAUUUCCUGUCAAUAUGCACAUCUACAUAGUAUGUCCUUAUUAUCUAAAAAGGUUUCAUGAAAUUCUGUUGUGUGGUAUCAGAGGAGUUGCAAUGACAAACUGUUGCAGUAGUACAUUGAAGCAAAUAAGUUCAAAGGGGCGUAACUCCUAGAAAAAAAAUUGAAUCGCAAUUUCCUGUCGAUAUGCACAACUGCAUAGUAUGUCCUUAUUAUCUAAAAAGGUUUCGUGAAAUUCUGUUGUGUGGUUUGAGAGGAGUUGCGAUGACAAGAAACAGGACUGACGGACGGACGGGUCAAAAACAUUAUAC